rnacentral:tRNA from 1 species
GCGGGUAUAGCUCAGUGGUAGAGGGUUUGCUUAGCAAGCAUGAGGUCCUGGGUUCAAUCCCCAGUACCUCCA